GACGAACGCUGGCGGCGUGCCUAAUACAUGCAAGUUGAGCGAUGAAGCUUGGUGCUUGCCCCAAUUUGAAGAGCAGCGAACGGGUGAGUAACGCGUGGGGAAUCUGCCUUUGAGCGGGGGACAACAUUUGGAAACGAAUGCUAAUACCGCAUAACAACUUUAAACAUAAGUUUUAAGUUUGAAAGAUGCAAUUGCAUCACUCAAAGAUGAUCCCGCGUUGUAUUAGCUAGUUGGUGAGGUAAAGGCUCACCAAGGCGAUGAUACAUAGCCGACCUGAGAGGGUGAUCGGCCACAUUGGGACUGAGACACGGCCCAAACUCCUACGGGAGGCAGCAGUAGGGAAUCUUCGGCAAUGGACGAAAGUCUGACCGGGCAACGCCGCGUGAGUGAAGAAGGUUUUCGGAUCGUAAAACUCUGUUGGUAGAGAAGAACGUUGGUGAGAGUGGAAAGCUCAUCAAGUGACGGUAACUACCCAGAAAGGGACGGCUAACUACGUG
rnacentral:rRNA from 1 species